rnacentral:lncRNA from 1 species
GCACUGGCAACAAAAUAAGCAGAAUAUGUUUGGCUGUUGUUCUAGCAGUUGUUUCUGCAGCAGUCCUAAUCUGCAUGAAAGAGGGGCUAUUGACCGGCAUCUCUGCAUGUAUAAAGAGUUCAGUUCAAAUAGUGGAAGCCUACAUGAAGCAUCAGAACUUGCUGUAUGACCUCAGUGCAGACUGGAAAGAUGAAUGGAACCUUGAUGGAGCUGUUGACAGAAUCUGCAAUAGUGGAGAGUCUGCUGGAAGCUUGAAAAGGGGAACUUUAAUGUGCCUUAUAAAUUCUCCUUUAGCCAUAACUGACUGUAGCUGAAGUUAGGAUGAAGAAUUCUACACAUCUCUCUACUGGAUAUGGAUUAUUUUCUGAAUGUUACACUCAGUCUUUGAAAUGCUCCUUUUCUUUUUGAAAUCUCAUUCUAAAACUCAUGUGACAUUAUUCUGUGGACAAAUACACCAAUUUUAUUGCAAUUACUUUCUGCAGUUCUUUAGUUUUAGUUUUUUAAUUUGAGGACCCAGUAAUAAUCCCUCUAUGCACCACAUCAUGGCUGUAUAGUUUGCAGAGCACUAAAAUAUAGGCAGAUUCUUUGAAUCCACCUUCUUAAAAAAUAGUGAUGAAUGAAAAGACUACUUCUAAUUUAUCCUUCAGUAACUGACAAGGGAAGAUACCUGGUUAAUAAAUAUCACUGCUGUAAAUUUAAGGACA